GUGCCAGCAGCCGCGGUAAUACGUAGGUGGCAAGCGUUGUCCGGAAUUAUUGGGCGUAAAGCGCUCGCAGGCGGUCUUUUAAGUCUGAUGUGAAAUCUUGCGGCUCAACCGCAAACGGUCAUUGGAAACUGGAGGACUUGAGUACAGAAGAGGAGAGUGGAAUUCCACGUGUAGCGGUGAAAUGCGUAGAGAUGUGGAGGAACACCAGUGGCGAAGGCGACUCUCUGGUCUGUAACUGACGCUGAGGAGCGAAAGCGUGGGGAGCGAACAGGAUUAGAUACCCUGGUAGUCC
rnacentral:rRNA from 1 species